rnacentral:rRNA from 1 species
AUGAAACUAGCGAUUUCAGUUUGUCUCAACAGCAACAACAACAAAAAACUAGUGCGGCCGGCCGAGACGUCGUCGAGAUGCGUGACGAACAGCGUCACCGCGAUGCACGACUUCGAGGUGCACAACCACCCGCUGCUGGACGACCUCGGCGUCGGCAAAUACGUGAGCUCCAGCACGUUUAGCGCCGGCGGUUACGACUGGUGCAUCAGCUUCUACCCGGACGGAAACAAAGAGGAAAACGCUGGCUACACGUCGGCGUUCCUCAACUGCGUCAACCCACCAGCUGAUGGCGUGAGGACAAAGGUGGCCGGCGUCGAGGCAGCGGAGGAGGCGGCCGAGCCGGCAGCGCCCGACCCUGCGGCGCCCGAGUCAGGGGCGGCGGGUGAAGGCGAGGCGCCGACCGCGCCGUUGGAGCCAGCCGAGGAGGCUGGGUGGGUGGGCGCUGGCAGGAGGGCGCGGGGACCGCCAAAGCCCGGAGGGCGGUCCACGAGCCAGACGUGA